GAUGAACGCUGGCGGCGUGCCUAAUACAUGCAAGUAGAACGCUGAAGGAAGGAGCUUGCUCUUUCCGGAUGAGUUGCGAACGGGUGAGUAACGCGUAGGUAACCUGCCUGGUAGCGGGGGAUAACUAUUGGAAACGAUAGCUAAUACCGCAUAACAGUAGAUGUUGCAUGAUAUCUACUUAAAAGGUGCAAUUGCACCACUACCAGAUGGACCUGCGUUGUAUUAGCUAGUUGGUGAGGUAACGGCUCACCAAGGCGACGAUACAUAGCCGACCUGAGAGGGUGAUCGGCCCCACUGGGACUGAGACACGGCCCAGACUCCUACGGGAGGCAGCAGUAGGGAAUCUUCGGCAAUGGACGGAAGUCUGACCGAGCAACGCCGCGUGAGUGAAGAAGGUUUUCGGAUCGUAAAGCUCGGUUGUAAGAGAAGAACGAGUGUGAGAGUGGAAAGUUCACACUGUGACGGUAGCUGACCAGAAAGGGACGGCUAACUACGUG
rnacentral:rRNA from 1 species